UAGCAUAUCAAUAAGCGGAGGAAAAGAAACCCACUGGGAUUGCCUUAGUAACGGCGAGUGAAGCGGCAAUAGCUCAAAUUUGAAAGCUGGCCCCUUCGGGGUCCGCGUUGUAAUUUGUAGAGGAUGAUUCGGCGAGGGCUCCCGUCUAAGUCCCCUGGAACGGGGCGUCAUAGAGGGUGAGAAUCCCGUAUGUGAUGGGUUGCCUUAGCCAUGUGAAUCUCCUUCGACGAGUCGAGUUGUUUGGGAAUGCAGCUCUAAAUGGGAGGUAAAUUUCUUCUAAAGCUAAAUACCGGCCAGAGACCGAUAGCGCACAAGUAGAGUGAUCGAAAGAUGAAAAGCACUUUGGAAAGAGAGUUAAAAAGUACGUGAAAUUGUUGAAAGGGAAGCGCUUGCAGCCAGACUUGUCCGCAGUUGCUCAGCCGGUCUCCUGACCGGCGUACUCUUCUGCGGCCAGGCCAGCAUCAGUUCGGGCGGUCGGAUAAAGACCUCGGGAAUGUAGCUCCUCUCGGGGAGUGUUAUAGCCCGGGGUGGAAUGCGGCCAGCCUGGACUGAGGAUCUCGCUUCGGCUAGGAUGCUGGCGUAAUGGCUGUAAGCGGCCCGUCUUGAAACACGGACCAAGGAGUCUAACAUCUAUGCGAGUGUUUGGGUGUCAAACCCAUACGCGUAAUGAAAGUGAACGGAGGUGGGAACCCUCACGGGUGCACCAUCGACCGAUCCUGAUGUCUUCGGAUGGAUUUGAGUAAGAGCAUAGCUGUUGGGACCCGAAAGAUGGUGAACUAUGCCUGAAUAGGGUGAAGCCAGAGGAAACUCUGGUGGAGGCUCGCAGCGGUUCUGACGUGCAAAUCGAUCGUCAAAUUUGGGUAUAGGGGCGAAAGACUAAUCGAACCAUCUAGUAGCUGGUUCCUGCGA
rnacentral:rRNA from 1 species